rnacentral:lncRNA from 1 species
AGAAGAUACUCAGUGCUGACCAAAAUUGCAAAGACUACUCAAAGUACUCAAGUACUCAAGUUUUGCCUGGAAUAUUAGCUACAUGAAUGACUGAGCUUUAAUUGACAAAAGUAAACAAAUAAACCCAUCUACAUUCGGAAGGCCACCCCUGGAAAGGGUCAUUUGAUCCUCAAAGAGGUCAUGACCAACACUGCAUUGCAGGGAUAAUGUGACAUUUAAUUGAUACCAAAUGGAGAUUCCUCAUAUUAAAACCAAUAUCAACGAAGGCUACCAUGUUGACCUUAGCCAAAAUUGCAUUGAUUUCAAGUCUGUUCAUUUCAUUACCAUUUGGGAGACCUCAGAAACAAAAUCUAAGAAGAAAUGUAACUCAGCACACUAUAGAAGAUGUGAAAACAAUGAGAAACAAAUCGAUUCAUUUGGAAAGAAGAAUAAAUGCAACUUCAGAAAACAGAAGUGAUAUCUCCAAUCUCAUGGUGACGGCUCCUUCUCUUUUGGAUUUAUCCACAACCUUCAAAGCAACAAAUUCCAGCAGAAACUUUCCAACAGCUAGUUCAACUGAGAGUCCAAAACCUCCCUCCACACAUUCCAUUCCUCCCUUGGUUCAGGGCUUUGUUUCCAAGUUGCCUUUGAACUCAUCCGUAGCCGAUGUAAAUCCUUUACAGGUCUCAGAACAUUCCAAUUCUACACAUUCUCCAUUGUCGGGAAAUUUUACUUGGUCUUUGGA